ACUUUUAAAGGAUAGAAGUUAUCCGUUGGCCUUAGGAGCCAAAAAAU
rnacentral:tRNA from 2 species